rnacentral:rRNA from 1 species
UACGUAGGGUGCAAGCGUUAAUCGGAAUUACUGGGCGUAAAGCGUGCGCAGGCGGUUUUGUAAGUCUGUCGUGAAAUCCCCGGGCUCAACCUGGGAAUUGCGAUGGAGACUGCAAGGCUAGAAUCUGGCAGAGGGGGGUAGAAUUCCACGUGUAGCAGUGAAAUGCGUAGAGAUGUGGAGGAACACCGAUGCGAAGGCAGCCCCCUGGGUCAAGAUUGACGCUCAUG